rnacentral:rRNA from 1 species
CGGACGAACGCUGGCGGCGUGCCUAAUACAUGCAAGUAGAACGCUGAAGAGAGGAGCUUGCUCUUCUUGGAUGAGUUGCGAACGGGUGAGUAACGCGUAGGUAACCUGCCUUGUAGCGGGGGAUAACUAUUGGAAACGAUAGCUAAUACCGCAUAACAAUGGAUGACACAUGUCAUUUAUUUGAAAGGGGCAAUUGCUCCACUACAAGAUGGACCUGCGUUGUAUUAGCUAGUAGGUGAGGUAAUGGCUCACCUAGGCGACGAUACAUAGCCGACCUGAGAGGGUGAUCGGCCACACUGGGACUGAGACACGGCCCAGACUCCUACGGGAGGCAGCAGUAGGGAAUCUUCGGCAAUGGGGGCAACCCUGACCGAGCAACGCCGCGUGAGUGAAGAAGGUUUUCGGAUCGUAAAGCUCUGUUGUAAGUCAAGAACGGGUGUGAGAGUGGAAAGUUCACACUGUGACGGUAGCUUACCAGAAAGGGACGGCUAACUACGUGCCAGCAGCCGCGGUAAUACGUAGGUCCCGAGCGUUGUCCGGAUUUAUUGGGCGUAAAGCGAGCGCAGGCGGUUUGAUAAGUCUGAAGUUAAAGGCUGUGGCUCAACCAUAGUUCGCUUUGGAAACUGUCAAACUUGAGUGCAGAAGGGGAGAGUGGAAUUCCAUGUGUAGCGGUGAAAUGCGUAGAUAUAUGGAGGAACACCGGUGGCGAAAGCGGCUCUCUGGUCUGUAACUGACGCUGAGGCUCGAAAGCGUGGGGAGCGAACAGGAUUAGAUACCCUGGUAGUCCACGCCGUAAACGAUGAGUGCUAGGUGUUGGAUCCUUUCCGGGAUUCAGUGCCGCAGCUAACGCAUUAAGCACUCCGCCUGGGGAGUACGACCGCAAGGUUGAAACUCAAAGGAAUUGACGGGGGCCCGCACAAGCGGUGGAGCAUGUGGUUUAAUUCGAAGCAACGCGAAGAACCUUACCAGGUCUUGACAUCCCGAUGCUAUUUCUAGAGAUAGAAAGUUACUUCGGUACAUCGGUGACAGGUGGUGCAUGGUUGUCGUCAGCUCGUGUCGUGAGAUGUUGGGUUAAGUCCCGCAACGAGCGCAACCCCUAUUGUUAGUUGCCAUCAUUCAGUUGGGCACUCUAGCGAGACUGCCGGUAAUAAACCGGAGGAAGGUGGGGAUGACGUCAAAUCAUCAUGCCCCUUAUGACCUGGGCUACACACGUGCUACAAUGGUUGGUACAACGAGUUGCGAGUCGGUGACGGCGAGCUAAUCUCUUAAAGCCAAUCUCAGUUCGGAUUGUAGGCUGCAACUCGCCUACAUGAAGUCGGAAUCGCUAGUAAUCGCGGAUCAGCACGCCGCGGUGAAUACGUUCCCGGGCCUUGUACACACCGCCCGUCACACCACGAGAGUUUGUAACACCCGAAGUCGGUGAGGUAACCUUUUGGAGCCAGCCGCCUAAGGUGGGACAGAUGAUUGGGGUGAAGUCG